rnacentral:pre_miRNA from 1 species
CAUGUACUCCAUCCGUCUGAAAAGACUUGUCCCUCAAGUUGAUGUAUUUAGCACAAAGUUAGUGCUAGAUACUUCCAUUUGAGGGAUAGGCUUGGGACAAAUUUUUCCGGGCGGAGGGAGUAUAUA